rnacentral:rRNA from 1 species
AUGAACGCUGGCGGCGUGCCUAAUACAUGCAAGUCGAGCGAACGGACGAGAAGCUUGCUUCUCUGAUGUUAGCGGCGGACGGGUGAGUAACACGUGGAUAACCUACCUAUAAGACUGGGAUAACUUCGGGAAACCGGAGCUAAUACCGGAUAAUAUUUUGAACCGCAUGGUUCAAAAGUGAAAGACGGUCCUGCUGUCACUUAUAGAUGGAUCCGCGCUGCAUUAGCUAGUUGGUAAGGUAACGGCUUACCAAGGCAACGAUGCAUAGCCGACCUGAUAGGGUGAUCGGCCACACUGGAACUGAGACACGGUCCAGACUCCUACGGGAGGCAGCAGUAGGGAAUCUUCCGCAAUGGGCGAAAGCCUGACGGAGCAACGCCGCGUGAGUGAUGAAGGUCUUCGGAUCGUAAAACUCUGUUAUUAGGGAAGAACAUAUGUGUAAGUAACUGUGCACAUCUUGACGGUACCUAAUCAGAAAGCCACGGCUAACUACGUG